CGGACGGGUGAGUAAUGUCUGGGAAACUGCCCGAUGGAGGGGGAUAACUACUGGAAAGGUAGCUAAUACCGCAUAACGUCGCAAGACCAAAGAGGGGGACCUUCGGGCCUCUUGCCAUCGGAUGUGCCCAGAUGGGAUUAGCUAGUAGGUGGGAUAACGGCUCACCUAGGCGACGAUCCCUAGCUGGUCUGAGAGGAUGACCAGCCACACUGGAACUGAGACACGGUCCAG
rnacentral:rRNA from 1 species